rnacentral:lncRNA from 1 species
GUAUUCCUAGAUCUUUGUUAUUACAUGCUCUGUCAUUUGCUUUCGUUGUCUUAUUACUUUGUUGUUGUUAUUGUUUGUUUAUUGUGUCAUUUUCACUGUUCUUGAGCUGAGGAUCUAUUGCAAAUAACUUCUCUUUCUUCAUAAGCUAAGGGUAAGAUCUGCGUACACAUUACCCUCCCCAAACCCAACAUGGGAUUUCACUGGAUUUAUUAUUUUUUGUGUGUGUGGGUGAGGGCGGGGGUUGAGGUCAAACUGAACUGACUAGUUCAUAAAUGAAGUGUAAGUAAUGCAAAGUUACA